rnacentral:rRNA from 1 species
CACGGGGGGAGCAAGCGUUGUUCGGAAUCACUGGGCGUAAAGGGCGUGCAGGCGGUCAGGUAAGUGUGAUGUGAAAUCCCUCGGCUCACCCGAGGACCGGCAUCGCAUACUGCUUGGCUUGAGUACGGGAGAGGAUGUGGGAAUUCCUGGUGUAGCGGUGAAAUGCGUAGAUAUCAGGAGGAACACCGGUGGCGAAGGCGCACAUCUGGCCCGAUACUGACGCUGAGGCGCGAAAGCUAGGGGAGCAAACGGG